UUAAGUUCAGCGGGUAAUCCUGCCUGAUCUGAGGUCUAAUCUUAGAAAGAAUGACUAGAUAGAGUGCUAUGAGCAUCGAUCGUUAUCUAACAUGGCCACCGCAAGCAGUGUCCUCAGCGAAUAGUCUAUUACGCUGAGUCAAUCCACGUUUCGAAAUUGAGAUGCUAAUGAAUUUUAAACGAGCUAGCGUUCACGAGGAA
rnacentral:misc_RNA from 1 species